GACGAACGCUGGCGGCGUGCUUAACACAUGCAAGUCGAACGGAAAGGCCCUGCUUGUGUGGGGUGCUCGAGUGGCGAACGGGUGAGUAACACGUGAGUAACCUGCCCUUGACUUUGGGAUAACUUCAGGAAACUGGGGCUAAUACCGGAUAGGAGCUCCUGCUGCAUGGUGGGGGUUGGAACGUUUCGGCGGGUGGGGAUGGACGCGCGGCUUAUCAGCUUGUUGGUGGGGUAGUGGCUUACCAAGGCUUUGACGGGUAGCCGGCCCGAGAGGGUGACCGGCCACAUUGCGCCUACGAUACGGCGCAGACUCCUACGUGAGGCAGCAGUGGGGAAUAUUGCACAAUGGGCGCAAGCCUGAUGCAGCAACGCCGCGUUCGUGAUGACGGCCUUCGGGUUGUAAACCGCUUUCGCUUGUGACGAAGCUUGAGUGACGGUAACGGGUAAAGAAGCACCGGCUAACUACGUG
rnacentral:rRNA from 1 species